UACGGAGGGGGCUAGCGUUGUUCAGAAUUACUGGGCGUAAAGCGCACGUAGGCGGCUUUGUAAGUUAGAGGUGAAAGCCCGGGGCUCAACCCCGGAAUUGCCUUUAAGACUGCAUCGCUUGAACGUCGGAGAGGUGAGUGGAAUUCCGAGUGUAGAGGUGAAAUUCGUAGAUAUUCGGAAGAACACCAGUGGCGAAGGCGGCUCACUGGACGACUGUUGACGCUGAGGCGCGAAAGCUAGGGGAGCAAACAGG
rnacentral:rRNA from 1 species